GGUCCCCAUACUCCCGGUGAGGUUGCCGGUGAUCGGUGACAUCCCGGUGGUCUGAUGAGUCUGAGGCUGGCCGUUUGGUUUCAGCUCGUGUUCCAUCAAGCUGUACAUGUCGGCCAGCAGGUUAGACCGGGUGAUUUAAAUUAAGUUGCUAAUUACCCACGUCACACCCGGGGAACAGAACUAGCCGAGCGAGAUCCACCUUUUCUACUUUACGUGUGAUGCUGUUGGGGAUGUCAUCACUUCUCUACUUCAGGUUUGAAGAGUGUGAACUCCGCGUCCAGCAGCUGUCAAACGGCCCCAGCAUCGCACACUGACGCGACUAUUCUGCCCCGGAGCUCAAACAGACCAACUCUGUGCCGCUGCACAUCAGCAGGAACCAAUGGGAAAGCGAAAAGCUCCAGAGGGCCAUUUGAAUGUGAAUAGCUUCCGACGCAGCAGAGACACUUGUUGAUGACUGAGUUGGGGAAAGGGGGCGUCCUGGUGUCAUGGGGAGGGGGCACAGACCCCAUAUUUAAGAGUAACUUGCAGAAGAUGUUUUUCCACACUGUUCAUUCUCAAAACAAGAUUUUUUUUCUUUACUCUACUUCAUUAUUUUUAGAACAAACCACUUUAGAAGUUCUACUUUUUCCACUUCAACCAUCAUCUACUUCGAACCCGUUAAAUACAAAGGCUCUAGCAGGGCUAUAGUUUACGUUCAAAUGUUCAAAUCUGCUUUCUGAUAACAUCAACAACUAAUGAGCAAUUCCCCGUUAUUACAUUUUCUCAUUAAGAAAGCUAGGUGUUUGACAUUAGCUGUAUAUUAUGGGAUGCCAAUGCACAGUCAAAAAAAUGACUUCGAUAGUUUGGGUUAUUUUGUCUGUCAUAAGAAAAGAAAAUGGUGGUUCAUUUUUCAAAAUCAUGUUUUCCAAGUUAUUAAUUCAUUUAUAAAUGUCACAGUUUCAAACUAAAUAUUUAAUUAGCAAGCUAAAGAAUUAGUUUGAAGGGGGGUUUUUUACGUCCUACAGUACUAAAACGGACAUUUAAGUCCAACAAGACAUCAUGAAAUCAAAACAACUGAGGAAAAAAACGUUUCAGAGACAAAUAGAAUAGCUGUUUUAUUUCUAUCUCAAAAAAUCCCAGAUUUUUCACCAUAUUGAUAGUGAAAUGUUGACUGGAUGAUUGAUGUCCACUUUGUGAACUGAGUUUUACCCACUUUUCACUAUAACUGAGAUUAGAAGUACAAGUAUAGAUCAGUGGUCUCAGACUGUAUCCUCAUGGGCUGGAGUCCUGCAACUUUCAGACGUGUUCUUUGUCCUACACGCUUGAACUAAAUGGGGAAAUUGCUUCUCUAGUAUGCAGUCCAGUUAAUGAGUUAGUAUUGGAGCCAGGUGAGCUGAAGUGGAGACACGUCUAAAAGUUGCCCGACAUCAAUCAGCCCUUGAGGACAGGAGUUUGAGACCAUUGAUAUACUGUAGAUAGUGUGAGUUUGUGAACAGAGUUAUUCCAAUGGUACCUGAAGUUCUGCAGACUAUAAGUCUACGGGUUAUCCUUCCUCCAUGCCUCUAUUUGUGCUUUCUAGCUGUUUUCCUAAGAUAUCAUUUCUGAGAAAUGGUGCGAGUUGUUGAAUGUUUGGGAAUACAUAGAUUUUGUAUUAAUGGCAUUAAUUUUAAACACAUAAUUAAAUUACAUUUAUUGCUUAUGUAUAAAUGUGAGCAAACAGCAAUGUCCUCAAAUCUCAAAUUAGGACUUUCUAACUUGGUAGCAUGACUUCUUGUCUGCCGCUGCCUAUCUGACCUUUGACCUCACUCCACAUCACUGGCUCCAUCACAGAUAGUUAUUUACUGGCUUUCAGAAAACAACUCUAAUGUCUUGAUAGCACUUCACCUAAAAGAAGUGAAGAUUAAUUGCAGGACUACCUGAAUAGCCAAAAAAUUGUACUUAAGGAAGAGUAAAAUUCCUUCAUUAGAUUUACACUGAAAUAGAGGUAAAUAUGCAAAAAAUAUUCAAGAAUAAAAGAUGUUUAGCAAAAAGGUUGCUUAAGCAACAGUGUGAUCAUAACAUCUGAUUUCAUUUGUGAAAAUUAUGUAAUCAAACAGAAACAAAUGUAUAAUUUAAUUUAUUGACAAACCCAGGUAUUUUACAGCGUAAAAUAAAAAACAAGUAAAAUAUCUAUAAAUGUACAAAUUCAAGUAGGGGUAACAAUCUUUUCCAAAUGUGUUUUAUUCACACAUAGAGCUGCUGAAACCAAUACUUACAAUAUGUAAUGUAUAAAUGUUGAAACAGUAAAAGGUACUUCUAGUGACUUCUCUUGACCUCCAAACGGCACAGCAGAGCGUUUUCAGCAGAGAGUUCCCACUGGGCCUGGUGAGGUUGCCAGUGAUCGGUGACAUCCCCCUUGGUGACGGUUUGGUUUCAACUCGUGUCCCAUCAAGUGAAACAUGUUGGGCAGGUGUGGUGAAGAUGACUUAAGAGUCAGAGAAAUACCAAAAUGCAGUCGUGAACCUGGUGACAUUAAGUUUUGUUUCCCAGCAGGUUAGACCGGGAGCUCCAGGUGAGUUAUUACCCAUGUUACACCCACAAAACAAACUAGAUCAGCCAGAUAUACUUUUCCACUGUAAAUACUCCUGGAAGUACUUUCUUUUUUCAAACAGUUGGCACAGACAGCCAUAAAAAGUCUUGACAGACAUGUUGCUCUACUGAGGAUCUUUAACUCGUCUCUCUAAUCAGGUGUUUUCCCCCAGACUUUGAAAACAACAGUUGUCAACCACUGCUGAAAAGAGAACAGGACAAGUCACUAAUCCAAAGUUACAUAACAAUCUCCAAACUUCUAUUCAUCAGCAAGGCUAUUGAGAAAGCAGUAUAUGAACAGUUAAACAGCUGCUAAACAAUGACCAACCACUUUGGUUGAAUGUUUGGGAAUACAAACAUUCCCAAACAUUGGGAUGUUUCCAUGCUCAUCAGAGUGUGGAGACUGCCCUCGUCAAGAUGUUCAGUGACAUCCACAUAAAUACCGACUGUGGAAGAACCACAUUGCUGGUUCUGUUGGACCUCAGUGAAGCAUUCAACCCUGUUGAUCACGGUAUAUUAUUGAAGCGAAUGCAGAACUGGUCCAGACUCUAUAGGGUACUUCGUUGGUUUGAGUUUUCCUCAAAGAACAGGGACUUAAUUGAGCCAAUUGGUAACUUUUUGUUGGAGGAAACAGAAGUCGAAUGUGGGGCUCCCAAUGGUUCCAUCCUGGGGGCCCUCUUAUGUAAUAUCUACUGUACAUGCUCGUGCACAGUGAUGCAGUUGGUAGUACUGCUGCCUUGCAGCAAGAGAGUCCUGGGUUCGAACCCCAGCCCAGGGUCAUACUCUGUACCCCAGCUCUCACCCGUUGAAGAUAGACACUAGUGGAGAUACCACUAGGGAUAAGUGUGUAAGCUAAUCUUCUUCUCUCAUACCAACUACCUUCCUAUCCUCUUUCCCUCCAUGCUCUUUGGUCUUCCUCUGGGUCUCCUGCCUGGCAGGUCCAUCCUCACCAUCCUUCUGCUGAUGUGUUCACCAUCUCUCCUCUUUACACGUCCAAACCAUCUCAGUCUGGCUUCUCUGACUUUAUGUCCAUGAGCUGUUCCUCUGAUGUAUUCAUUCCUGAUCUUAUCCAUCAGGUUGUUCCCAAAGAGAACAUCAGCAUCUUCAUCUCUGCUACCUCCAUCUCUGCCUCUUGUCUGCUUGUCAUUGCAACUGUCUCUAAACCAAGCAGAACAACUUAAACACAGAGAUCCUUUAAAUCAAAGCUUAAAACCUAUUUGAUUACAACCUCAUCCAUUUAAUAACUAAAACAUAGCUUAAUUUUAGACUGUAUUCUAACUUCUUAUUACUUUCCUUAUCCGAUGUUUCAUGUAUUUUUUUUCCAUGUUGCCUUGUUGGUGAAAUGUUCUAUACAAAUCAACUUGUCUUGUUAUAGCUUUUCUGAGUGAGGUAUUUGCUGAGCUGCUAGGCUAACAAUAGCUCCUGACCCAGUCAAUGAACUUUUUUCAUUGAGUAGGACUUAAUAUUAUGACUCACUAACAUAUCCACUGUUUUUUUUCUGCUCCAUUUCUUUGUGUGCAAUCACAACUUAAAUAAAUAAAUAAAGCUUUAUAAAUUAA